rnacentral:rRNA from 2 species
UUGACCUCGGAUCAGGUAGGAAUACCCGCUGAACUUAAGCAUAUCAAUAAGCGGAGGAAAAGAAACCAACAGGGAUUGCCCUAGUAACGGCGAGUGAAGCGGCAACAGCUCAAAUUUGAAAUCUGGCCCUCGGGUCCGAGUUGUAAUUUGUAGAGGAUGCUUUUGGUGCGGUGCCUUCCGAGUUCCCUGGAACGGGACGCCAUAGAGGGUGAGAGCCCCGUCUGGUUGGA